UUGUACUCUGUGUCCAAAUGUCAUAGGUAGUACAGUAGUAAUAACACAAGUGAUUGAAUUUCCUGAUAAACAUUCUUCUUAACCAUCGUCAGAAGAAAAAGAAAAAACUCCUCCAUCAAUACUAACAUAGUGGAACAACAAAGAUGGUUGUUAUUCUCAGCAAAACAGGAAUUAAGAGGGGAUAGAAGUGGAGGUGGAGAACAUUUCAAGACGAGAAAUGUUUACAUCAAUAAGUGAUGAUUUUUUUAUUCUAACAAAAAAUUGAAAAUUUUUUCAAGUAAUGAUUAAUUAAAUAUGAAGUAAAUAAUUAUAAUUAGGGACCUACAAUAAAAAAUAAUUUAUGA